rnacentral:rRNA from 1 species
CGGUAACACCGGCGGCUCGAGUGGUAACCGUUAUUAUUGGGUCUAAAGGGUCUGUAGCCGGCCGGAUAAGUCUCUUGGGAAAUCUGGCAGCUUAACUGUCAGGCUUUCAGGAGAUACUGUCUGGCUCGAGGCCGGGAGAGGUGAGAGGUACUUCAGGGGUAGGGGUGAAAUCUUGUAAUCCUUGAAGGACCACCAGUGGCGAAGGCGUCUCACCAGAACGGACCUGACGGCAAGGGACGAAAGCUAGGGGCACGAACCGGAUUAGAUACCCGGGUAGUCCUAGCCGUAAACGAUACUCGCUAGGUGACGGCCACGGUGCGACCGUUGUCGGUGCCGUAGGGAAGCCGUGAAGCGAGCCACCUGGGAAGUAUGGCCGCAAGGCUGAAACUUAAAGGAAUUGGCGGGGGAGCACCACAACGGGUGGAGCUUGCGGUUUAAUUGGAUUCAACGCCGGGA